AUUGAACGCUGGCGGCAUGCCUUACACAUGCAAGUCGAACGGUAACAGGUCUUCGGAUGCUGACGAGUGGCGAACGGGUGAGUAAUACAUCGGAACGUGCCCGAGAGUGGGGGAUAACGAGGCGAAAGCUUUGCUAAUACCGCAUACGAUCUCAGGAUGAAAGCAGGGGACCGCAAGGCCUUGCGCUCACGGAGCGGCCGAUGGCAGAUUAGGUAGUUGGUGGGAUAAAAGCUUACCAAGCCGACGAUCUGUAGCUGGUCUGAGAGGACGAACCGCCACACUGGGACUGAGACACGGCCCAGACUCCUACGGGAGGCAGCAGUGGGGAAUUUUGGACAAUGGGCGCAAGCCUGAUCCAGCCAUGCCGCGUGCAGGAUGAAGGCCUUCGGGUUGUAAACUGCUUUUGUACGGAACGAAAAGACUCUGGUUAAUACCUGGGGUCCAUGACGGUACCGUAAGAAUAAGCACCGGCUAACUACGUGCCAGCCGCCGCCGUAAUAC
rnacentral:rRNA from 1 species